rnacentral:rRNA from 1 species
UAUUGGGCAAUGGAGGCAACUCUGACCCAGCCAUGCCGCGUGCAGGAUGAAGGCGCUCAGCGUUGUAAACUGCUUUUAACUGGGAAGAACGGCAUUUUUGCGAAGAUGUGUGACGGUACCAGGGGAAUAAGCACCGGCUAACUCCGUGCCAGCAGCCGCGGUAAUACGGAGGGUGCAAGCGUUGUCCGGAUUUAUUGGGUUUAAAGGGUGCGUAGGUGGGACCUCAAGUCUGGUUUGAAAGCUGGUCGCUCAACGAUCAGAUGUGGCUGGAAACUGAGGUUCUUGAAUGGCGUAGCGGUAGCCGGAAUGGGUCAUGUAGCGGUGAAAUGCAUAGAUAUGACCCGGAACUCCGAUUGCGAAGGCAGGCUACUGGGCGCCGAUUGACACUGAGGCACGAGAGCAUGGGUAGCAAACAG